ensembl:lncRNA
GGGGAACUGAGUCAACUUUAACGAGUGGGCUGUGAACCCCAUCAUUCUCAUUACUAUGUAAAGAGACGGUGGGGAAUGUAGGCAGGCUUUGGUGGGGGUUGAUGCAAUCCAGAGUGGUCCAGCCAUGGUCGUAGAGCCAGCAAUUGCAGUUUUGAAUCAGUUGAUCCAAUUUUGGUGGCCUGAGAAUUGGAGCAAAGGUGCUGUCCUGGGCCUGAAGGUGUGGGUGUCAGCGACAGAGUCCAGUGUCUUGGAGGAGAACUGGGAGGAUCAGGCAGAAGGGUACCCUGGCAUCUUAGCUUUGGAAUCAGAAAGAAUUCAUUCGGAAUCCUGACUGUGCCAUUGACUUGGUGAAAUCAAGUCCCCACCUGUAGAAUGGAGAUAAAAGUGGAAUCUUUAACCUCAUAGGCUUAUUGCAAGAAAUAAUCGACAUGAUGCCUGCUAAACUCUUACCGUGGUUCCUGGUGCCUAGAAAGUGCUCAAAACAUGUUAAUUAUUGUUAGUAAAAACUGAGAAGGCUGUCAUCUGCUGGGCAUGCAGGUGGGUGCUCUUGGCUUAUCUCAGGACCACUUCAGUUAACUCUCCAUCUGCACGGUGGCUUCCAGGAGCCACUGCUGAUGAUCUGAGCUCAUUUGUCCAAACUGCACUGCCGUCUCCAGUGCCCAUUCUGAGGCUGCAGGCUUCCUAUAAAACGGCUACAACCACUAUCUCAUCUCCAUGGACAGUCCUCCCAAAGGCCCCCCGUUUCUCUUUGAUACUCCACCCCCCAGAUCAGAUCCCUUCCUUCUGCCUAGACUCUUUGGAGACCCAAUUUGUUUCCCUGCCUCCCACAGUUCUGCUUCUUUUAGGUAGCCCAUUGGCUAAGGGUGCCCACCAAGUGCCCAGUUCCUGUUCUUGAAAGUCUAACCCAGGCAAUCCAAGAGAAGUGGUCAGGUCCCCCUCUCUGCGAGAUCCUGGGUAGGGUUUGGUUUAUAGAAACUAGUGAAAUCUUUUCCAGUUCCUGCAACCCAGGAGGAUGGAGGAGCAGGAACCAACAGCUUUUGCUCUUUAAAAAAAAAUUUUUUUUUUCUGUAUUUAUUUGUGCAUCUUAGCUGUGGCACAUGGGAUCUUCGAUGUUCACUGUGGUAUGUGGGCUCUUUAGUUGCAGUGUGUGGGAUCUAGUUUCCUGGGCAGGGGUUGGACCUGGGGCCCCUGCUCUGGGAGCAUGGAUUCUUAGCCACUGGAUCACUAGGGAAGUCCCAGCCUUUGCUGUUGGCUGCUGAGGUUCUUGGUCUUUUGGAUUCUGUCACCUACGUUGGGGACUGAGGUUAAAGUAUAUAAACAUCGAUUGCAGUAAAGGCCAGAGGGGUGGGUGUCUUGUCUUCAUCUCCUCAUGAGGUAUUUUUUCCAGGCUUAAGCAUUUGACUCGCUGAAGCAGAAAAGGGAACGUGCUGGCUGAAAUAACCAGACCGCGGAGCAGCUCUCUCUUGUCCGUGUUCUUUCCAUCUCUCACUUCUGUGUCUUAGUUUCUUUCCUCCUACUGUGGAUGGGGUUUUUGUGUAUGAUGGGGAUCUUGGCAGGUGUGUCUUGGCCAUUUGUUCUGAUGGUUUGUCACCAAGAAGAAAAUUGGCUUCUUCUUUCCAGUUUCAGUAUGAAAACUCCCAGGAAGGGGUUAUGAUAGACUCUCCUGGGCUGCUUGUCCACCUGCAGGCCGGGGGUUUGAGAUACUAUGGCUGGCCCAACUUGAGUCCAGGGGCAGGGGUGGACGCGCCUGUUACUAGAAGGCUGAUGGUGGUGGUGGGGGAGCAUAGGCAGGACCACCAGAGGAAAUCACUUGUGAAAUCAGUGUGUGACUUGAGUCUACUUCAGUGCGUGGUUCUGGCAAAGCUAUCCCCACUGCACUGUUUUCUUAGCCAUUCCAAUUCCCCUUUGGAAUAAGGUAGGGCACCCAUACAUUUAUCCCCCAAAAUAGAUGAUUUAGUUAUAGCAGAAAAGAGUGUGAAGUGAAAAACAAAGAAACCCAACAAAGAGUUACCAGUAACCAGGAAAUGACAAAUAAAUCAGGUUUGCCUUAUUGUUCUUGAUUAUUUUUAGCUUAGAAGGCGUGGGUGAAUAUGAGGUUCGGGUGAGUUCUUAGGCUCUCAGCCCAGAGACAGUUUGAAAAAUGGAAACCCAGUACUUCAAAUCGCCACGGGAGUAUCUUUACAAACCUUGACUAUACAGAGAAUAUGGGCUUCGUGUCCAUAUAAGGGUGAUUCCAAGGCUUGGACAGCCUGCAGAACACCCAAGGCAGCUUCUAUGGGAAGCCUCGAGUUACAAAUACAGCCCCAAAAUGACAUCUGAAGUCCCCAAGUAGAAAUAUUUUGGAAAUAUGUUUAUUUUCUUGUAUGUACAGUUCUACAUUGUCCUAGAGGGUGGCCCACGUGGCUUUUAGCUGCAUAAUAUACAAGGUGGGUAGUGUUUGCAGAGGGAUGAGGUAACUGAACUACAGAGGCAUUGCCACAUUUUUAAUUAACUAUUGAUUUGUAGGAUUUGUGUAUUGAGGUUAAUCAGGUACAACAAGAACAGAUAACUUUACUUGGCUUCCUUUAAGCUCAAGUAUAUAAAUCUGAUGUGGAGUGACUGUUUAUUAGAAAUGGAACUCUUUUUUUUUUUUUUUUUUCGUCUAGAGGUAAUCAAUGCUGCUUCGAAGCUGAAAAUAACAAACACAAUUCAACCCUCUCCUAUUUGUGAGAAUCUGUGUUUUACUUUCUUCUUGGGUUUUGGAGCAAAGGGGACAUAUUUCUUUCUUGGGUUUGGAAAAGCCUCACUCCAUAUGGUGGGCAACAGCCCUUCCUAUGGAAGGGACAAAUGCAGUAUUUUCCCAACGAGGAGUCACCUUGUGUUCCCGGAGAUCGCUGGAGCUGGAGCUCAAAGAUCUGUCAGGAAAGAAAUACUGCUGAGCUUCCUACUAACUCAGGAGUAUCUUUGGGUUAACUUUGAAGUUCUAGUGAUAAGGCUGAGAAAAAAUACACCAAGUGAGAUUUCAAACUUGCUGAAAGAUUACUGUCUCUUGAUGCCAGAUGUAUAGAACCAUGAUUGCAUUUGUCAUGAGUGUGAGCUCCAAGAGGAGUUUUAAAAACCACAUGGUUCUUUGUCUGGCAGCCUCCCAAGAGAUCCUGGAGCUCACAUCUUUCUUUACUGAAUCAAUACCGAUGAGCAAACAAGGGGCUCACCCAGUUGUCUGUCCUUUUGGACUUUGGGAACAGCUGUGGUUUGGGGGUCCUGGAGCAUAACUUGAUGCUUAUCUUAGAGCCCUUCAUGGUCUCCUAGCUUCUUCAGAUCAUGCUUUUUGGCCUCUGGGUAUGAAAGAUAGGCCAACACCUCUACCCUGGCUGGAAUUCCUCUGGUCCAAAGUAGUCAUGUGACUCAAGCUCGUCCAACUAGAAGGCUAUUGAUGGGUUCAGGAAUGGCAUGUUAUAAGAAAGGGGCCCAUCAUGGUUUCCCACAAAUCUUUUCUUAUAGAUUUGGGGAAAGACACUUCUUCAUAAAUUGGCAUUGGGAGCUGUAUCUGGGAUGUAGGCUAGAGGCUGUGAACUGCCAUCUUGUGUCCACCUGGAUCAAGUUUGUCUGAUAGUAAAGCAGAGCUGAGGUGAGGGAUAAGAAGAGAGAGCGAUACAGAGAGCCCCGAUGACACUAUUUGAACCUGGAUCCAGCUGAGCAUGAAGCUAGGAUCAUUCCCUCAAGCUUCCUGGGUACAUAAGUCAACAGCAUUUUAGUUAUUUAAUUUUUUUAUUGACCAGGAAGGGAACCAGCCUCAGGAGGAAGUGCAGAUUGAGGUUGGUAGAGGCAAAAGGAGAAGAGGGCGGCGGAGGAUGAGAUGGUUAGAUAGCAUCACCGACUCAGUGAACGUGAAUGUGAGCAAACGCUGGGAGAUGGUGAAGGUCGGGGAGGCCUGGCGUGCUGCAGCCCACGGGGUUGCAAAGAGUCAGAAACUCUGGGAGAUGGUGAAGGUCGGGGAGGCCUGGCGUGCUGCAGCCCACGGGGUUGCAAAGAGUCAGAAACGCUGGGAGAUGGUGAAGGUUGGGGAGGCCUGGCGUGCUGCAGCCCACGGGGUUGCAAAGAGCCAGACACAACUUAGUGAGUGAACAACAACAAAUGACAACAGAGGAGAGAAACGGAAAGAGCCAAGAUCCUGAUGGAAUUAUCCAGGUGCAUAAAGCACCUGGACCCUGCCGUCCCUCUGGCCUGCCACUUGUAUGAGAAAACACAUUUCUUUACUGGGCGAACCAGCUCAAGUCCAGAUUUUUUUGUUACUUGACUCCAAAAGCAACCUAACUAACACAAGCUUCAGGGAGACUGGAUGAGUCUACCUCACCAGUCACUGAGUGAACCCGAGUGGGUUAGGGGACAGGGCCUGAAACUUUUGAGGGUGACGUCAUGAGGGGAAGCUACAUAUGCUUCAAGCUACCCCAAGCCAGGCCCCAUAGCCGGGUGUAAAUUCCUGUCAUGUGGAAAAUAUACUCAGAGCAGCAGAGUGUCAGUUUGGGACCUGUGAGUGUUGUCAUGGAGCCGCCAUCUCCUCCAUCUGAUCUAUUGACUAAAUUUGAAAGUAACUUAUAAUUGUCAUGGAUCUGCUGACUUUAGGAUGAGAUGUUUUCUUGAAGAAAAUCAAAACCAAAGGUUUCAACCAACUACUUUAGGUUGAAGACGGUGGGUAGGAUAGAGAUACCUGGGGGGAGGGAUGAGCUGGUGGAUUCUUACAGCUGGGCUCUGUGCCAACCCUGGUCCUACUCCUCUCCCUCAGGUUUUUUCCCUACAUGGAUUUUCUAUGUGGUUUAUGAGAAUAGCAUAAUCACAUUUUUUUUCUGGGUGGUAAAAUAGAUGUAACAUAAAAUUUACCAUUUUAAUCAUUCUUAAGUGUACAGUGGAGUGGCGUUAAUUACAUUCACAUUGUUAAGCCACCACCACCAUCCAUCUCCAGAACUUUUUCAUCUUCCCAAAUUCCUUAUGCAUUAAACACUCAUUCCCACUCUCCCCUCCCUCCAUCACAGUUCUACUUUCUGACUCUAGGAAUUCGACUGCUCUUAGAACCUCGUAUAAGCGUGUUCAUGCGACAUUUGUCCUCUUGUGUCCGGAUUAUGUCACUGCAUAAUGUCCUCAAGCUUCAUCCAUGUUGUAGCAUGUGUUAAUUCUAUUUUCUUUUCAAGACUGAGUAAUAUUUCAUAUGUUCAUAUACUACAUUUUGCUUGUUUUUUUUUUUUAUUUUUACCUUUUUAUUUUAUUGACUUCUGUAUUGGAGAAUGGUAGUUUUUAGAAAAGUGUUAUCCCAAAUGCUGAGGUCAGAAAGAGAGAGAAAUAGCAAGACAUUGGAACUAGCAGAGGAAGAAAAGAGCCGGUUCAUACCCCCAGACUCUGCUCAAUGGGCUUCCCAGGCGGCGCUGUGCUCAGUCGUGUCUGACUCUUGGCGAUCCCAUGGACUAUAGCCCGCCAGGCUCCUCUGUUCAUGGGAUUCUCCAAGCAAGAAUACUGGACAAGAUUGCCAUGCCCU